rnacentral:rRNA from 1 species
AACUGAGCGGUUUCUUGAUAGAGCCCGCGGGCCUAUUCAGCUUGUUGGCGGGGUAACGGCCACCCAAGGCUUAUGACGGUAGCUUGUUCUGAGAGACGACCAGCCACACUGGACUGAGACACCGUUCCAGACACCUACGGGUGGCAGCAGUCGAGAAUUUUUUUCAAUGGGGGAAACCCUGAAGGAGCGACGCCGCGUGGAGGAUGAAGGUCUUCGGAUUGUAAACUCCUGUCAUUUGAGAACAAGUUGCAUCGGUUAACUGCCGAUGCAUUGAUAGUAUCAGAAGAGGAAGAGACGGCUAACUACGUGCCAGCAGCCGCGGUAAUACGUAGGGUGCAAGCGUUAAUCGGAAUUACUGGGCGUAAAGCGUGCGCAGGCGGUUUUGUAAGUCUGUUGUGAAAUCCCCGGGCUCAACCUGGGAAUGGCAAUGGAGACUGCAAGGCUAGAGUUUGGCAGAGGGGGGUAGAAUUCCACGUGUAGCAGUGAAAUGCGUAGAGAUGUGGAGGAACACCGAUGGCGAAGGCGGCCCCCUGGGUCAAGACUGACGCUCAUGCACGAAAGCGUGGGGAGCAAACAGGAUUAGAUACCCUGGUAGUCCACGCCCUAAACGAUGUCUACUAGUUGUCGGGUCUUAAUUGACUUGGUAACGCAGCUAACGCGUGAAGUAGACCGCCUGGGGAGUACGGUCGCAAGAUUAAAACUCAAAGGAAUUGACGGGGACCCGCACAAGCGGUGGAUGAUGUGGAUUAAUUCGAUGCAACGCGAAAAACCUUACCUACCCUUGACAUGGCAGGAAUCCCGGAGAGAUUUGGGAGUGCUCGAAAGAGAACCUGCACACAGGUGCUGCAUGGCUGUCGUCAGCUCGUGUCGUGAGAUGUUGGGUUAAGUCCCGCAACGAGCGCAACCCUUGUCAUUAGUUGCUACGAAAGAGCACUCUAAUGAGACUGCUGGUGACAAACCGGAGGAAGGUGGGGAUGACGUCAAGUCCUCAUGGCCCUUAUGGGUAGGGCUUCACACGUCAUACAAUGGUACAUACAGAGGGCCGCCAACCCGCGAGGGGGAGCUAAUCCCAGAAAGUGUAUCGUAGUCCGGAUUGUAGUCUGCAACUCGACUGCAUGAAGUUGGAAUCGCUAGUAGUCGCGGAUCAGCAGUCGCGAAUGCUGA